CCCGGUGUAUUAUUAACGGCCGCGGUAUCUUGACCGUGCAAAGGUAGCAUAAUAGUUUGCCUUUUAAUUGAAGGCUGGAAUGAAUGAAUAUACGAAGUCAAAGCUGUCUCAUAUCUACUUAUAGAAAUUGUUUUUUAGGUGAAGAAACCUAGAUUAUAAUGAAGGACAAAAAGACCCUAUUGAGCUUUACUUUUAAAAGAUUAAUAUUAAUCUAAUUAUUUAUACUUUAUAAAGUUUGGUUGGGGCAACAAAGGAAAAUAUAAAUCUUCCUUAAUUUUUACGAAUUAUAUUUCUUGUAAUAGAUCUAUUUAUAAUAAUAAGUAGAAAGAGUUACCAUAGGGAUAACAGGCUAAUUCUUUUGGAGAGUUCAUAUUGAUAAAAGAGUUUGGCACCUCGAUGUUGGCUUAGAAUAUCCUAUAGGUGCAGCAGUCUAUAAGGGUUGGUUUGUUCAACCAUUAAAAUUCU
rnacentral:rRNA from 1 species